AACGCACAUUGCGCCCUUUGGUAUUCCGAAGGGCAUGUCUGUUCGAGCGUCAUUGCAUCUCUCAAGCACUGCUUGGUAUUGGGCCGCGCCCCCGUGGCGUGCCUGGAAUUCAGUGGCGGUCCAGCGAGACUUCAAGCGUAGCAAGAUUUCACGAUCCCGCUUUGGAAGGUUCCUGCUGUGUGCCGGCCAGACAACCCCAUUAUUUAUCAAUGGUUGACCUCGGAUCAGGUAGGGAUACCCGCUGAACUUAA
rnacentral:misc_RNA from 1 species